rfam:Trichobilharzia regenti genome assembly, scaffold: TRE_scaffold0025306
AUCCACCUGACGAGUCCCGAAUAGGACGAAAUGCGCGUCAUCCUGGAU